CUACGGGGGGCAGCAGUUAGGGAUCUUUUACAAUGCACGAAAGUGUGAUAAAGCGAGCCAGAGUGUUUCUCAUAUUUGAGAAACUUUUGUUUGUUGUAAAAAGACAGACGAAUAAGGACUGGGAGAGACCAGUGCCAGCCGCCGCGGUAAUACCGGCGGUCCAAGUCGCAGCCACAUUUAUUGGGUCUAAAACAUCCGUAGCUUGUCUAGUAAGUUUUUUGUGAAAUCUUGUUUCUCGAGAACAAGGCGUGCAAGAAAUACUGCUAAACUAGAGACUGGAAGAAGUAAGAAGUACGGUUGAGGUAGUGGUAAAAUAUGUUAAUCUCAAUUGGACUAACAAUAGCGAAGGCAUCUUACUAGUACAGAUCUGACAGUGAGGGAUGAAGGCUAGGAUCGCAAAACGGAUUAGAUACCCCCGUAGUC
rnacentral:rRNA from 1 species